UGGGGAAUCUUGCGCAAUGGGGGAAACCCUGACGCAGCAACGCCGUGUGAGUGAUGAAGGCUUUCGGGUCGUAAAGCUCUGUCAGAUGGAAAGAAUGAGUCUGCUGAAAAUAUUGGCAGAUGAUGACGGUACCAUCGAAGGAAGCACCGGCUAACUCCGUGCCAGCAGCCGCGGUAAUACGGAGGGUGCAAGCGUUGUUCGGAAUUAUUGGGCGGAAAGCGCGUGUAGGCGGAUGAAUAAGUCAGGUGUGAAAUGCCAUGACUCAAGCAAGGAAGUGCA
rnacentral:rRNA from 1 species